AACACUCUUCACAUCAAUGCAAAGGAAAAGUGAGUAAUAUAUAGUAAGCAUUAUCAAACACUUUUCAAGCAUGAAGACCAUUCUCAUCGCUUUCUUACUCUUUGCUUCUCUUUUCUUCCUUCCCACUUCAACUAUGGCUCGACAACUCAAGGAAAUUGAAUGUCGUUCUGGCAGUCAGGGUUAUAGAAAUUGUGUACCAUAUAAACAGACACCACCAACAAAAAAAUGCUCACCAUAUCAACGUAAUUGUAACUCAGAAUCACCACCACCACCACCACCACGGUGCUCGUUGUUAUAUAAACGUAAUUGUUGACCGAUAAAUUGGAUAUCCAAAUAUAUGCUAUAUUUGAAUAAAUUAGUUAUAGUUUUACUUAUUGCUUGCGCCAUUUAACACUUGUUGUGUUAAACUAUAUGGUGCUACUACUAUCUCUGUUUUGCUUUAGAAUUUCCAGUGCUUUUCCAGUUUGCUUUUAAAUAGAGGUUUGGCCUCCAGCACAAUACAAUAAAUAAGGUCUUGAUUGCCUAUA